GCCUGGGUGGCUCAGUCGGUAAAGCGUCUGACUUCAGCUCAGGUCAUGACCUCACGGUUUGUGGGUUCGAGCCCUACAUCGGGCU
rfam:Felis catus isolate Cinnamon breed Abyssinian chromosome F2, whole genome shotgun sequence.